AUCACUGGGGGAUUUUGUUAAAAUCAUAUUCUGAUUCAGUAGUCUGGGUAGGGCCUGAGAUUCUGCAUUUCUAACAAAUUCUCAGGUGAGCACCU
rnacentral:pre_miRNA from 1 species